ACUCCUACGGGAGGCAGCAGUGGGGAAUUUUGCGCAAUGGGCGAAAGCCUGACGCAGCAACGCCGCGUGAGUGAUGAAGGCUUUCGGGUCGUAAAGCUCUGACAGAGGGAAAGAAGUGUAGAGUGGCUAAUAUCCACAUUACUUGACGGUACCCUCAAAGGAAGCACCGGCUAGCUCCGUGCCAGCAGCCGCGGUAAUACGGGGGGUGCAAGCGUUGUUCGGAUUUAUUGGGCGUAAAGCGCGUGUAGGCGGUUUUAUAAGUCUGAUGUGAAAGCCCUGGGCUCAACCCGGGAAGUGCAUUGGAUACUGUAAGACUUGAAUACGGGAGAGGGCAGUGGAAUUCCUAGUGUAGGAGUGAAAUCCGUAGAUAUUAGGAGGAACACCGGUGGCGAAGGCGGCUGCCUGGACCGAUAUUGACGCUGAGACGCGAAAGCGUGGGUAGCAAACAGGAUUAGAUACCCUGGUAGUCCACGCCGUAAACGAUGAGAACUAGGUGUUGCGGGUA
rnacentral:rRNA from 1 species